AUUGAACGCUGGCGGCAUGCUUUACAUAUGCAAGUCGAACGGCAGCGCGGGCUUCGGCCUGGCGGCGAGUGGCGAACGGGUGAGUAAUGCAUCGGAACGUGCCCAGUAGUGGGGGAUAGCCCGGCGAAAGCCGGAUUAAUACCGCAUACGACCUGAGGGUGAAAGCGGGGGACCGAAAGGCCUCGCGCUAUUGGAGCGGCCGAUGACGGAUUAGCUAGUUGGUGGGGUAAAGGCUUACCAAGGCGACGAUCCGUAGCUGGUCUGAGAGGACGACCAGCCACACUGGGACUGAGACACGGCCCAGACUCCUACGGGAGGCAGCAGUGGGGAAUUUUGGACAAUGGGGGCAACCCUGAUCCAGCCAUGCCGCGUGCGGGAAGAAGGCCUUCGGGUUGUAAACCGCUUUUGUUCGGGAAGAAAUCCUCUGGGCUAAUACCCCGGGGGGAUGACGGUACCGGAAGAAUAAGCACCGGCUAACUACGUG
rnacentral:rRNA from 1 species